rnacentral:rRNA from 1 species
UACGUAGGGGGCUAGCGUUGUUCGGAAUUACUGGGCGUAAAGCGCACGCAGGCGGCUCGAUAAAUUAGAAGUGAAAGCCCCGGGCUUAACCUGGGAAUUGCUUUUAAGACUGUCGGGCUAGAAUCCAGAAGAGGGUAGUGGAAUUCCGAGUGUAGAGGUGAAAUUCGUAGAUAUUCGCAAGAACACCAGUGGCGAAGGCGGCUCACUGGCUCGAUACUGACGCUGAGGUGCGAAAGCGUGGGGAGCAAACAGG